rnacentral:rRNA from 1 species
AGCAGUCGCCACGGUAACACGGAGGAUCCAAGCGUUAUCCGGAAUCAUUGGGUUUAAAGGGUCCGUAGGCGGUCUUGUAAGUCAGUGGUGAAAGCCCAUCGCUCAACGGUGGAACGGCCAUUGAUACUGCAGGACUUGAAUUAUUGGGAAGUAACUAGAAUAUGUAGUGUAGCGGUGAAAUGCUUAGAGAUUACAUGGAAUACCAAUUGCGAAGGCAGGUUACUACCAAUUGAUUGACGCUGAUGGACGAAAGCGUGGGUAGCGAACAGGAUUAGAUACCCCGGUAGUCCCUGUCUCUUAUAC